CCUACGGGGUGCAGCAGUGGGGGAUAUUGCACAAUGGGGGCAACCCUGAUGCAGUGACGCCGCGUGGGUGAAGAAGCGCCUCGGCGCGUAAAGCCCUGUCAGCAGGGAAGAAAAUGACGGUACCUGAAGAAGAAGCCCAGGCUAACUACGUGCCAGCAGCCGCGGUAAUACGUAGGGGGCCAGCGUUAUCCGGAUUUACUGGGUGUCAAGGGGGCGCAGACGGCGAUGCAAGCCAGGAGUGAAAGCCCGGGGCCCAACCCCGGGACUGCUCUUGGAACUGCGUGGCUAGAGUGCAGGAGGGGCAGGCGGAAUUCCUGGUGUAGCGGUGAAAUGCGUAGAUAUCAGGAGGAACACCGGUGGCGAAGGCGGCCUGCUGGACUGCAACUGACGUUGAGGCCCGAAAGCGUGGGGAGCAAACAGGAUUAGAUACCCUUGUAGUC
rnacentral:rRNA from 1 species